GACGAACGCUGGCGGCGCGCUUAAUACAUGCAAGUCGAGCGAGAACCAGGGCUUCGGCCCUGGGGACAGCGGCGAACGGGUGAGUAACACGUGGGUAAUCAACCCCCGACACCGGGAUAGCCCAGGGAAACUUGGAUUAAUACCGGAUGCCCCAUCUGGCUUUCGAGCCGGCUGGAAAAGGGUAGCUUCGGCCUCUGGUCGGGGACGAGCCCGCGGCGGAUUAGCUUGUUGGUGAGGUAACGGCUCACCAAGGCGACGAUCCGUAGCUGGUCUGAGAGGACGAUCAGCCACACUGGGACUGGGACACGGCCCAGACUCCUACGGGAGGCAGCAGUAGGGAAUCUUGCGCAAUGGGCGAAAGCCUGACGCAGCGACGCCGCGUGAGGGAAGAAGGCCUUCGGGUUGUAAACCUCUUUCAGGAGGGACGAAGCCACUCGGGUUAAUAGCCUAGAGGGUGACGGUACCUCCAGAAGAAGCCCCGGCUAACUACGUGCCAGCCGCCGCGGUAAUAC
rnacentral:rRNA from 1 species